GUAUGAAAUAAGCAAGAAAACAAUGUGAACAAGGGACAAAAUUGGAAUUAGCAUAAAAGUUAAUAGUUAAAAAAAUGAUGUGAUUGAAAAUCUAGACAUUUCUUCAUCUUUCUCAGCCAGAAACACCGUAAUAGGUCUCCUAUGCUGGUUUUUCAUAUUUUUGCACCAUAUCAAGAAUCCAAAGAAGAACGAGGAAAAGAAAAAGUAAAGGACUAAAGUGUAAGGUUUAGUCACAUUUUGUAUCAAGUACUUAUCUAGUCACUCGGGGAUCGAAGGAAAUGUCGGAGGCCGAUCACACUAUCAAAGAAAUAACUCCGUAUAACUAGUCGUUUUGUUUUGGGUAUGGCAUGUAUAGAAACUUAGCUACUUUUGGUAUAAUAUGAAUAAUGAAUGAUGUGUAAAUACUUGCUAGUGAUUAGCUAAGAAAAUAGCUGAUGAUAUACAUGUUUAUUAAUAUGUAUGAUUGAAUGAUGAUUAUCACAUGAAAA